GAUGAACGCUGGCGGCGUGCCUAAUACAUGCAAGUCGAGCGAACAGACGAGGAGCUUGCUCCUUCGACGUUAGCGGCGGACGGGUGAGUAACACGUAGGUAACCUACCUAUAAGACUGGGAUAACUUCGGGAAACCGGAGCUAAUACCGGAUAAUAUUUCGAACCGCAUGGUUCGAUAGUGAAAGAUGGCUUUGCUAUCUCUUAUAGAUGGACCUGCGCCGUAUUAGCUAGUUGGUAAGGUAACGGCUUACCAAGGCAACGAUACGUAGCCGACCUGAGAGGGGGAUCGGCCACACUGGAACUGAGCCGCGGUCCAGGCUCCUACGGGAGGCAGCAGUAGGGAAUCUUCCGCAAUGGGCGAAAGCCUGACGGAGCAACGCCGCGUGAGUGAUGAAAGUCUUCGGAUCGUAAAACUCUGUUAUUAGGGAAGAACAAACGUGUAAGUAACGGUGCACGUCUUGACGGUACCUAAUCAGAAAGCCACGGCUAACUACGU
rnacentral:rRNA from 1 species